rnacentral:rRNA from 1 species
UCAAGAACGAAAGUUAGGGGAUCGAAGAUGAUCAGAUACCGUCGUAGUCUUAACCAUAAACUAUGCCGACUAGGGAUCGGGUGGUGUUUUUUUUUGACUCACUCGGCACCUUACGAGAAAUCAAAGUUUUUGGGUUCUGGGGGGAGUAUGGUCGCAAGGCUGAAACUUAAAGGAAUUGACGGAAGGGCACCACCAGGAGUGGAGCCUGCGGCUUAAUUUGACUCAACACGGGGAAACUCACCAGGUCCAGACACAAUAAGGAUUGACAGAUUGAGAGCUCUUUCUUGAUUUUGUGGGUGGUGGUGCAUGGCCGUUCUUAGUUGGUGGAGUGAUUUGUCUGCUUAAUUGCGAUAACGAACGAGACCUUAACCUACUUGUUAGGACUGCCAGCUUUUGCUGGUUAGUUCUUCCUAGAGGGACUAUCGAUUUCAAGUCGAUGGAAGUUUGAGGCAAUAACAGGUCUGUGAUGCCCUUAGACGUUCUGGGCCGCACGCGCGCUACACUGACGGAGCCAACGAGUUCUAUCCUUGGCCGAGAGGUCCGGGUAACCUUGUUAAACUCCGUYGUGCUGGGGAUAGAGCAUUGUAAUUAUUGCUCUUCAACGAGGAAUUCCUAGUAAGCGCAAGUCAUCAGCUUGCGUUGAUUACGUCCCUGCCCUUUGUACACACCGCCCGUCGCUACUACCGAUUGAAUGGCUUAGUGAGGCUUCCGGAUUGGUUUAGAGAAGGGGGCAACUCCAUCUUCGAACCGAGAAGUUAGUCAAACUUGGUCAUUUAGAGGAAGUAAAAGUCGUAACAAGGUUUCYGUAGGUGAACCUGCGGAAG